GGCAAAACACUCUCUGAUGGUCUCCUGUGAGUCUGUAUGGGUCUUUCUCAAUGUUUUUCCGCCGGCGUUGUGCUAUACCGUCUUGCUCUUUUUCUGUACAGCUGGGCUCAGCAGGGAUGGAGGAGCUCGCCUGGUUACCACGGCAACAGUCUGGCAUUCUCUAGACAGGCAGGGCAGGAGAUCUGAUGCAUUGGUGAGUGUGUGUGUGUGUGUGUGUGUGUGUAAGGCAGACAGCGAGUGAGAGAGAGAUAGUGAGACAAAGAUUUACAUUGUUUCUGGCCAAAACAGAGUUCACAUCACCUCCAGAAUAACAAAACAUCAGCAGAACAGCACAAACUCCAUACGCUCCAGCUGAGAGUCUGUGAGUGAGCACAACAACAGAGCUGCGUCCAUGUAAGGACACGCUGCCACGGCUGAGCUCCUCUUACUGUAAUCAGUCACCAGCCCUGCUGUUUGUUUGACUGAGACAAAUGCUGCAGUUUCUAAGAGACUCAUAUGUAAUAUCAAGGAUUACCCAUAAUACAAUAUCUGUGCACAGAGAUGCCGAUGGCACCGCUGCUGGGAAUAUCUGCUGCCAGUGUGUUUAAUACACACACUGUUGGAUCUGACCUGUGUAAAAUGCUCUCACUUCACACAGGAGGAGAGAAAGAGAGGAAAUGGAAACGCAGCAUCUGUCAUCAAGCAAUUCUUCACAGUGUCAGCCAUUCAUUUUAAACACUGUUAUUUCAUCCAAUUGGCACAAUUUAAGCUCCAUUUCACUCCAAACACAAAAGAAAAUUCAUCUAAAAUAAACUUAACUUCAGAGUUGCAGCAGCCCCUAUCUGUGCCACACGGUAAGACAGAUCAGAUCUGCUUUUGUGCUUAUAAUUGUUCUUUAGAAACAACUACAAAUGUUUCAGAGACUGGUGAAUAGAGAGAGUUAACCAAACCCAGAACACAUGCCUGUUUGUGCAUAAAUGGAAAGCUGUUACCUCAGGACUCACAGCUGCGCUGCAGACACUUGCACAUUAGCUAAUAACCCAAAAACUCUUGUUUUGCACCCCAUAGGGUCAGAAGAACCCUUCAGCUGCAGGAUUACUCACCGUUUCAGAGUGAGGAGAGCCAUUAAAGGAACACAGAUAGGAGACGUGGCAGAUAUCAUCCACAGUGUGAUGUUGUUGCCUUCAAGCUGUCUGAAACAAUUGCCUUGAAACACCAGAGUCUCCUAUCCAGGGAAGGUCUCUCACAAGCAUGAACAACUUCAUGGCUGACAGCCAGAGAUGUUUCCCAUGAGGUAAUGAGCCAGGAAGUGUUCAGAAUGAAAGGAGACGGAUAGGAAGAGACAGACCAAUGAGAGCAAACAAGAGAAAGCUGGAAAGAAUGGAUGGACGGUGCAAUAGAAUAUAAGUUUUCUUUCUUUGAACGGUUUGUAAGAAAAUCAGAUGGAUAUAAGUAGGGCUAUUCCUGACACGGCAUUGAGUUUUCAUGUCUAAUUGGAAGUCAUUCAUAAUAUCAGAGUUCAAUACUUAGAUUAAUAGUCUAUUUCUAUUGAUCAUCACUAAUGGUGUUUUUAAAUGGUAUUUAAUACAUAUACCAUGAUACUUUUUCUCAAUUAAAAAUAUUUUACACAAAGAAAUAAAUAGUAGGCCUACUUUUCAACAAUGUUUAGUGUCAUGUUAAAUCACAUAACAUAAACCAAUGCGUCAAAAUAACAGCGUUCAACAUUAUACUGAGUGCACUUUUAAUAAGUAAUAGUUAAACUCUAUUAUGAAUGAAAUAACUUCACAUCGAGUGGAAAUCACCCCCCCCCCCACACACACUUUGCUUCCU
ensembl:lncRNA